GACCACUCAAGCCUAGCUUGGUAUUGGGGUUCGCGGUCCCGCGGCCCCUAAAAUCAGUGGCGGUGCCGUCUGGCUUCAAGCGUAGUAAUUUUCUCGCUACGGAGUCCGGGCGGUUACUUGCCAGAAUCCCCAUUUUUACAA
rnacentral:misc_RNA from 1 species